rnacentral:rRNA from 1 species
UACGUAGGGUGCAGGCGUUAAUCGGAAUUACUGGGCGUAAAACGUGCGCAGGCGGUCUUUUAAGUCAGAUGUGAAAUCCCCGGGCUUAACCUGGGAACCGCAUUUGUGACUGCAUAGCUGGAGUACGGCAGAGGGGGAUGGAAUUCCGCGUGUAGCAGUGAAAUGCGUAGAUAUGCGGAGGAACACCGAUGGCGAAGGCAGUCCCCUGGGCCUGUACUGACGCUCAUGCACGAAAGCGUGGGGAGCAAACAGG